AUGAACGCUGGCGGCGUGCCUAAUACAUGCAAGUCGAGCGAACGGACGAGAAGCUUGCUUCUCUGAUGUUAGCGGCGGAUGGGUGAGUAACACGUGGAUAACCUACCUAUAAGACUGGGAUAACUUCGGGAAACCGGAGCUAAUACCGGAUAAUAUUUUGAACCGCAUGGUUCAAAAGUGAAAGACGGUCUUGCUGUCACUUAUAGAUGGAUCCGCGCUGCAUUAGCUAGUUGGUAAGGUAACGGCUUACCAAGGCAACGAUGCGUAGCCGACCGGAGGGGGUGGGCGGCGACGCUGGAAGUGGGACGGGGUCCAGGCGCCUACGGGAGGCAGCAGUAGGGAAUGGGCCGCAAAGGGGGGAAGCCUGACGGAGCAGCGGGGCGGGAGUGAUGAAGGUGUUGGGAGCGGAAGACUGUGUUAUGGGGGAAGAACAUAUGUGUAAGGAACUGGGCACAGCGUGACGGUACCUGGUCAGAAAGCCACGGCUAACUACGUG
rnacentral:rRNA from 1 species